UACGUAGGGGGCAAGCGUUGUCCGGAAUUAUUGGGCGUAAAGAGCGUGUAGGCGGUCCGGUAAGUCAGCUGUGAAAGUCAAGGGCUCAACCCUUGAAUGCCGGUUGAUACUGUCGGGCUAGAGUCCGGAAGAGGCGAGUGGAAUUCCCGGUGUAGCGGUGAAAUGCGCAGAUAUCGGGAGGAACACCAGCGGCGAAGGCGGCACUCUGGGCUGGAACUGACGCUGAGGAGCGAAAGCGUGGGUAGCAAACAGG
rnacentral:rRNA from 1 species